ACCUCAUCAUAUCCUUCAGUGUGUAAUAAUAAGACAUCCUUCGUUGUGGAGGGCGAUGCCUCGUACUUUCACUGAGAGAGGUCCUUCACAAUUUAUUCAUGUAAACGUUACAAGGAG
ensembl:ncRNA F46G11.19 ncRNA